AAGGGCACCACAAGAACGCGUGGAGCAUGUGGCUUAAUUUGACUCAACGCGGGAAAUCUUACCGGGUCCGGACACACUGAGGAUUGACAGGCAAUAUUAUUUAAAUGAACUUCGGUUUGUUUUUAUAUGUAAAUAUGCUAGUCCUUUCAUGAUUAUGUGAUAGGUGGUGCAUGGCCGUUCUUAGUUCGUGGAGUGAUCUGUCUGCUUAAUUGCGUUUCACUAAGAGCUUAUAUAUAAACGUAUGUUUGCUCUCAUAUUUGACCCCCGUUUGAUUUUUCUUCUUCGGAGGAUUUCAUUGAACGUGUGUGUUGUCAUUUGUGUUUCAAGCAUCAUACAAUUAAGCUCUGAAAGCAACGAACGUGACCGCAACCUCUUGUUGCCUCUAAUUUAAUUUUUUUUUUUCCUUCGGGAAGAGAGAAUGCAAAAGAGGCUUUAAAACUAGAGGGACCGCUGUAACUUUUUUAAACCAGAGGAAGGUUGCGGCAAUAACAGGUCUGUGAUGCCCUUAGAUGUUCCGGGCUGCACACGUGCUACAAUGAUUGUUGCAGUGAGCAUCUCAAAUAAACACCGUGGUCAAGCUAAUUUGGCGUACUUUGAUUGUUUGAUGGUCGAUUUCGGUUGAUCGUUGGACUUUCUUUGUUAUCCUUAUUCAGUCAGACUCGGUUAAGCCUGCUUCGAAAGUAAGUAGGUAAUCAAUCCGAAGUAACGAUUUCCCAACUUUAGCACACCUAUAUGCGGCGUUUAUACCCUGGCAUUUGCUUGUCAAGUGUUUUUGUGUGUAUAGAUGUUUUCUGCAUGUGCUUUUGUCAAUUCAAGGUGGGGACAAACCAUUGUUAAUUGUUGGUUUCGGUCUUAACUAGGAAUGCCUUGUACGGGUCUUUGGUUCAACAAACCACCCGGAAUACGUCCCUGCCCUUUGUACACACCGCCCGUCGCUCUUACCGAUGGACUUAUCUGUGAGUUUGAGGGACUGGAUAUUUAACUUUCGAGUUAAUCUUCUAUGGAAACUUAAACGAACAGGUUGGUCUAAAGGAAAGAGAAGUCGAACAAGGCA
rnacentral:rRNA from 1 species